rnacentral:tRNA from 1 species
AGGAUAAUAGUUAAAUUUAACAUUUAAAUUGCAAUUAAAAAAUAUUGAUAAUCAAUUUAUCUUA